ACGAUUCAUUUCAGAGAUUGGUGGGCUUCAAUUUCGACGGAGAGUUAGAGAAAGCGACGAACACGGUUGCGGUGUGACUGAGGAUAGGUGAUGGGUGAUGGUCGUAUUGAAUUAGCAGAGGGAGAAGAAGGUGUCACGCUUCAGCCUUUAGAAAAGAAAAUGACAUGAUUGUAAUUUUCAAUUUAGCUCAGAGGUAUGAUAGUAAUUUCAACCCUAAAUUAAUGGGAUGGCCAUGGUCAUCCCCUGUCCACACGUGGCG
rnacentral:lncRNA from 1 species